CGGGGUGAGUAAUGUCUGGGAAACUGCCUGAUGGAGGGGGAUAACUACUGGAAACGGUAGCUAAUACCGCAUAACGUCGCAAGACCAAAGUGGGGGACCUUCGGGCCUCAUGCCAUCAGAUGUGCCCAGACGGGAUUAGCUAGUAGGUGGGGUAACGGCUCACCUAGGCGACGAUCCCUAGCUGGUCUGAGAGGAUGACCAGCCACACUGGAACUGAGACACGGUCCAG
rnacentral:rRNA from 1 species